rnacentral:rRNA from 1 species
UACGUAGGGGGCAAGCGUUGUCCGGAUUUAUUGGGCGUAAAGCGCUCGUAGGUGGUUCGGUAAGUCGGAUGUGAAAUCUCCAGGCUCAACCUGGAGGGGUCAUUCGAUACUGCCGUGACUAGAGGUCGGUAGGGGAGUGUGGAAUUCCUGGUGGAGCGGUGAAAUGCGCAGAUAUCAGGAGGAACACCCGUAGCGAAGGCGGCACUCUGGGCCGAUACUGACACUGAGGAGCGAAAGCGUGGGGAGCGAACAGG